rnacentral:rRNA from 1 species
GUCAUUAGAGGAAGUAAAAGUCGUAACAAGGUUUCCGUAGGUGAACCUGCGGAAGGAUCAUUAUCGUACAAUGGAGCCAUCUAGGGCUGUCGCUGGCCUUUUACAGGUUGUGCACGCCCUAAAUGGUCUCUUCUUAUCCAUCUCACCCCAUUGUGCAUCACCGCGUGGGACCUCCUAUCAGGGGUCUUGCGUUUUUACAACAAACACCAUUUUAUGCAUGUGUAGAAUGUCUUUUGCGAUUAUAUGCAAUUAAUAUAACUUUCAACAACGGAUCUCUUGGCUCUCGCAUCGAUGAAGAACGCAGCGAAAUGCGAUACGUAAUGUGAAUUGCAGAAUUCAGUGAAUCAUCGAAUCUUUGAACGCAUCUUGCACCCCUUGGUAUUCCAAGAGGUACACCCGUUUGAGUGUCGUGACACCAUCAACCUUCUUGGUUUCUUGACCAGAAAGGCUUGGACAUUGGAGGUUUUUCUUGCCGGCUUACAUUGUGAGUCGGCUCCUCCUAAAUGAAUUAGUGGGAUCCGCUUUGCUGAUCCUUGACGUGAUAAGUAUCCUUCUACGUCUUGGUUCUUUUGCAAUGUUACCCACUUCAAACCGUCUUCAAAUCAAAGACAAUGUUCGAGUUGACUCGACCUCAUUGACCUUGACCUCAAAUCGGGUGAGACUACCCGCUGAACUUAAGCAUAUCAAUAA